rnacentral:rRNA from 1 species
GACGAACGCUGGCGGCGUGCCUAAUACAUGCAAGUAGAACGCUGAAGCGAGGAGCUUGCUCUUCUUGGGUGAGUUGCGAACGGGUGAGUAACGCGUAGGUAACCUGCCUUGUAGCGGGGGAUAACUAUUGGAAACGAUAGCUAAUACCGCAUAACAAUGGAUGACACAUGUCAUUUUUUUGAAAGGGGCAUUUGCUCCACCACAAGAUGGACCUGCGGUGUAUUAGCUAGUAGGUGAGGUAAUGGCUCACCUAGGCGAAGAUACAUAGCCGACCUGAGGGGGUGAUCGGCCACACUGGGACUGAGACACGGCCCAGACUCCUACGGGAGGCAGCAGUAGGGAAUCUUCGGCAAUGGGGGGAACCCUGACCGGGCAACGCCGCGUGAGGGAAGAAGGGUUUCGGAUCGUAAAGCUCUGUUGUAAGUGAAGAACGAGUGUGAGAGUGGAAAGUUCACGCUGUGACGGUAGCUUACCAGAAAGGGACGGCUAACUACGUG